AAUCCCUCUUCUUCCAUCAUAACCCUUAACUCUCUGUCUUUCUCUGGAAUAUAUAGUAAUAUUUAUUAGUCUCUUGAAAAAUGAAAUACGCUUUGUGUUUCGUCUCAUCCCUUCUCGUGAUUUCUUUCAUACUUCUCCUUGCCACAGAGAUGAAUCUGGUGGAAGCAAGAGUUAAUGGGGAAAUAAGCAAAACUUACGUUAUUUGUGGAAACGAAAGAGUAUGCAACUGGACCUGCAUCUUUAACGAGCAUUUCACAAGAGGUCGAUGCCGACACUUAUAUUGUUACUGCUUCCGCUAGCAUUUUUAAGAUGUGAUCUUCAUAAUGUUAAUUACCUUAAAAACAUAUUAUAUUCUAUCUUAUCCCUUCUAUCCUUGUUAACUAAUUAUAUAUUCAUCAGUUACAAAAAAAAAAAAAAACUAAUUAUAUAUUCAGUUAAUAACAUACUUUAAAUAUUUUAUCUAAACUAUUUCAUAAUUAAAAAUAAUUAAUGUAUUUUAAUAAGAUCUUAAAUUUGACUCUACUUUUUUGUUUUUAUAUAUUUUUCCAUUGCGACAUCGCAAACGGAAAAUUUGGAUACUGUAGCUAAUUUUCGCCCAACAGAAUUUUUUAAUAUGUGAAUAAAUAAGUCAUUUUAUAAUAUCUCAUUGUAUAUUUACACAACAAUGCAAAGAAGUAAUAAGCUAAUAGUUAAAAACAUAAUAUAAAAUUCAAAACUAAGCUUUCUUAGUAAAUUACGUCUUAACUUAAUUGUUCUGAUCGUGUAUGAAUGAAUACUUAGACGGUUGAAUCAUUUGCCACGUAGCAAAUUAUGGGGGAUGAUUGAUUGAAUAAAAUGUUUCAAUGAGAUGAGGAAGAGAAGGUAAUGUUGUAUAGGCUAGAUUAGGCACAUAGACUGAUGAAGUUCCAGAAAUUUCUUGAGUAACGAGAAGAAGACCAAGUCGACGAAGAAAUGAUACGGGUGUCUACUUCUCGACAAAUUACCUACAAUCCUUAUUAAAGUUCACUUUAAAUUAUCUGUAAGUUAUCUAAAGAGUGCAUUACCGUUUAGGACAUUUUUUUACUUUUUUGACAGAAUAAGGCACAUGUUGCUGGAUGAACACUUUUCUUCUAGAGAGAGACUUCGUUCGGACGGAAUUACCCUUCGCUGAGUAAUCUGAAGUAUGAAGCAAGAUUAUGUGGAUUUAUGUCUAGUUGGUGGAGACCCCAUUUAGUUACGUUUGCGUUUCAUGGUAAGAGUUAUCAAGAUUGGUUUAUAGGUAAGUGAGACACAUUGCAACCAUUGGAUGUGAUCUAAUCCAACAGUAAUGGAUAUCUAACAGGUUUGAGUUUCACAGCAAUAGAUUUUAAGCCAUCAGAUUGGAGAGGGGGAAAAACUAGAUCGUAGGAUUGGAUUUUUUUUGAAUUUUAUGAAAUUACUAUUAUCAACUCCCCUCUAUUUCGUUAUGUGAUUUAUUUUGACAUAUUAAAGUAUAUCAAUAAAUAAAUUGAACAUAAUAAAUUAUAACUUUUUGUUGUCAACAUUUUAAGAUCUAUUUUAGUAUAUUUUAGAAAUUUGAAUAUGAAAAACAUAUCAUGACAAAUCUUUUUUUUGUAGAUUAAAUGUUUAUGGACAAAUAAAAUGUGGACAUAUAUAUUGUGGAUAUUGAAAAAAAAUGACCACAGACAUAAUAAAUGUAUAAAAACCAAUUCAGUAUAGAAAAUGGUCUUUUAAGCUAUUAGAUGUGGCAACUUGAACUAUAUUGUAGGAUUAUAAUUUUUUAAUUUUCUUAUAUUACUAUUAUCAAUUUUCCUAUAUUUCUUUAUGUGAUUAUUUUAACAUAUUAAAGUAUAUAAAUAAGUAGAUUAAAUAUAAUAAAUUAUAAAUUUUUCUUCUACAUUUUAAAAUUCGUUUUAGUAUAUUUUAAAAUUUUGAAUAUAAAAAAUCAUAUCCACAAAAAAAAUUGUCCAUUAAAUGUUUGUGAACAAAUAAAAUGUGGACAUAUAUAUUCUGGAUAAAAAAAAUCAUAGAGUUGGACACAUAUAUUGUCCAUUUUGUUGAAACUAGAUCGUAGGGUUGGAUUUAUUUGAUUUUUUUGAAAUUACUAUUAUAAAUUUCCCUCUAUUUCUUUAUAUGAUUUAUUUUGACAUAUUAAAGUAUAUCAAUAAAUAAAUUAGACAUAAUAAAUUAUAACUUUUUGUUGUCAAUAUUUUAAUAUCCAUUUUAGUAUAUUUUAGAAAUUUGGAUAUGAAAAACAUAUCAUGACAAAAUAUUUUUUGUUGAUUAAGUGUUUAUGGACAAAGAAAAUGUGGAUAUAUAUAUAUAUAUAUAUAUAUAUAUAUAUAUAUAUAUAUUGUGGAUAUAAAAAUAUAUGGACAUAUAUGUUGUAAUGUUCAAAAAAUGUGGACAAAUAAAAUGUGGACAUAUAUGUUGUGGACAUAAAACUCAGCAAUGAAAGAAGAAGAAGAUCCCAACCAAGAUAAAAAGUUUUAGCAUAUCAGCACACACUUGAACACAUCGAUCACAAGCUUCAGCUAACAAACUCAAACUCCCAGGACGAACAAUAUCUUGGGGUUUCUUCACAUCAAGUUUAGGAGAAGUAGGUGUAAGCUGUGGACAUGGAUACAAUUAAUGUAUAUAAGAAAAUGUGGACAAGGACUAAUGUUGAUUUGAGAAACGUGGUUUCACAUUACCAAGUAGAUUGUAGUCUUUAGGUCCUUCACUUGCGUAUGAUCGAGCUCCUGCAAGACAUUGAAACAACUAAACUGUGAAUAGAGCCAUUAAUAACCAAACACAAAAGAGUAUUGACACGACAUACAAACAAUCAAUUAAAAUGCUAAACAUGUAAUACUAGAUCAAAAAUGUCAUUCUUGUUAACUAAUGUAUGUCUAAUUAUAAAUCAUUUUCCCAAAAAAAAAAAAGAUCGCUGGCUUCAAAAAAGAGCUGGGAAUAAAUAAAAAUCCCUCAGCUUUGAGCAGAGUUACACAAACAUAAUCCUUCAGCUUUAACUUCAAUUAAAAUUACAGAAAAAAAAUUGAUGCAUCGAAGAACCAACCUUUUGGAUAUGAUAGAGAACAGAGUCUGCGAUGAACAUCUUCAACAGCUUUUACUGGACAGAGAGUGGUUUGAGGAGCUUCAAAUCGAAAGGUGACAGAGACGACGGCUUGAUUCUGAUAGUUAUAAGCACUUUCGAUCAUAACUGCCAAAAAUCUCCGGUAAAGAGUAGAUGUUCAGACACUUGAUGGGGAAUCUAUCAGUCGUAAAUAAUCUCGGCGGGAGUCGGAGGUCUGGUGGAAUUGUUUGCGGUGGGUUUUGUUGCUCAGUAAUCUUCGCUUUCUUCUUCAACUUCGAUUUCGUCAUGGCUCGUUACAGAUGAUGAAGAGGAGCGACGAAAAACAAAGGAAAUAGAGUAGUUCACGAAAAGAGGAAAGUAGAUCUGAGAUUAGCAAGUGGGAGAGAGAAUAUAGGUCGUUUGCGAAAUUCAAAAAUUGAUUUAUGAUAUUGCAAUUUAGAAAUUAUUAUUUUAUCAAUAAAAGUUGAAUGGGAUUGACUCGUUAAAGGAGAACUAGAAUUAGAGGAGAGUAUAGUUGAAGGGCAUGUAAAACAUUGCACAUAGAUAAAGUGUGCCUCCAGCUAAAAGUGUCUUAAUGUGUUAUUGGAAAGACAUAAUAUGUCUUAAAGAGUAAAAAUUUCUUGUCUAAAACGCUUAACAAGAUUUUUGUUUUGAUUUGUCUAUAAUAACUAUAAUAAUUUGGACAGAAGUUAGGUUCACCCUAUAGGGUGAAUCUUUAAAUUCACCUCACUCUUUAUAACUAAUCAAAUUUUGCACAUAGAUUAUUAAUUAUAAAAUAUUAAAUUAAAUAAAAAAUAGCUACAAAAAAUAAAAACGCCAAUUUUAACAACGCUAACGCUUCCACCUAAACCAUAAAUCUUAAAUUCUAAACGCUGUACCCUAAAUCCCAAAUCCAAAUCCAAACCCUCAAACCCAAACCUUAUACCAUAAACCCUAAUCUUAGACCCUAAAUCCAAACAUGUACCCUAAACCCUAAUCCUAGACCCUAAACCCAAAUUAUAUACCUUAAACCCAAAAAUAGGCUAUAAACCUAAAUCAUAUACCCUAAACCCAAAUCUUAGACCCUAAACCGUAAACCUUAACUCAAACCCUAUAGCAUCUAAGUUUUGGAUUUGGGUUUAGGGUUUACCGUUUGGGUUUCAGGUCUAGGAUUUGGGUUUAGGGUAUAAGUUUUGGGUUUAGGAUUUACGGUUUGGGUUUAGGAUUUACCGUUUGGACUUGUGGUUAAAGUUUUGGGUUUAGGGUAUAUAAUUUGGGUUUAAGGUUUACGGUUUGGGUUUCGGGUCUAGGACUUAGGUUUAGGGUAUAAAGUUUAGGUUUAUAGUAUAGUUUUUUUGUUUAGGGUAUAUAAUUUGGAUUUAGGGUCUAUGAUUAGGGUUUAGGGUAUAGGGUUUGGGUUUAUGAGUUUGGAUUUGGAUUUAGAAUUUAGGAUAUAGGGUUUAGAAUUUAAAAUUUAGGAUUUAGGGUUUCGUUGGAAGCGUUAGCGUCGUUAAAAUUAGCGGUUUUAUUUUUUGUAGUUAUUUUUCAUUUAAUUUAAUGUUUUUUAAUUAAUAGUCUAUGUGAAAAUUUGAUUGUUCUUAAAGGAAGGGGUGAAUAUAAAGAUUCACCUUAGGGAGUGAACCUAAGUUGUGUCCUAAUAAUUUUAGAUCUCGACUCAUAAAAAAAAAACAAAUGCCCCAAAAAGGUGAUCGAAACCAAUAUAUCAAGUGAUCCUACACAUUCGCUUCAGCUUUUGAAUUCCUAAACCAUUGUACUUCAUAUAUGUAGGACAAAUUUCUUAAGUAGCAUAAAAGAGUUUUUACCACAAAAUAUUACACAAUAAGGAAAAAGAUCGAAACAGCAUUCACGAAAAAAUAAAAAGGUUAAAUUACUCUUAAUAAACAAUACAUUUAAUAUAGAAAAAUUUCCUAGAAUAGGUUUUUUCGUUGAUUUUCACAAAAUAGUCCUUGAAAAACAUAAUCAAAAUAAAUUUUAUUAUAAGGUAAAAAUAUAUUUUUACUUUACGGUUAACUAAUCUAAAUUGAUGAUUCUAUAUUUAGAAUUAAGGGGCAGUGUUUUGGGAUAUGGUUUCAAAUUUAAAAAAAAAUAUUUAAAUUUUCAAAAUAAAAAGACUAUUUUGGUCAUUCUCUUUUUUGAAAGCUAUUUUUGUGAAAAAAACUUAGAUAUUGCUAUUUGAGAGAAUUGCCUUUUAAUAUAAAUCAGUAUUUUUAAACUUAUCAAAUUUCUAUUUGAAAAUAUAAAAAUAUUAAUAUUCUAAGUUUUAUAUCCUAAACUCUAAUCAUAGUCUUUAAAUUCUUACUUCUAAUACAUAAAGUACUAUUCUCAAAAUUUAAAGGAAAAAUUAGAAAAAUACUUUGCAAAGAGAUUUUAUUUUGAAAACUGCUAUGUAUUUUAUUUCUUUUGAAGAUUACACUUUCUCAUAAGCUAAAUGACUUUUUUUUUUUUUUUUUUUUGGUCAAAAAGCUAAAUGACUUAUUUAUCCUAAUUAAAAUGUAUAUACAGCAAGAAAAUAAAUUUAUUAUUUUAAAUAUAACUAUAAUUUAAGUGACAAGUAAUAAAAAAUAUAUAAAAUAAUCAUCGUUGAAAACAUAAUAUUUUACGUGAAGAAAUAUCACAGUUGUAUGAAACUUGUCAAUUUUUGAUCUAGUGUCUUUGUGUUUUAUAAUUUUUUGCAUAUUUUUCUAGAAGUUUCUGGGCAUAGUCUUGACCAAUCCAAAUUAACAAGCACAUCGACAAUGUUUUGUCCCUAGUUCUAUAAUUAUUCAGCGGAGAGAAAAAAAUUUGAAGUUGCUGUUUCGGUGAGAUGAUGAUUCUUAACAUGUAAAGUUUUAUAUUAUGUAUCAAAUUAAUAUUUGUUAUAUAUAUAUAUAUAUAUAUCUCUAUUAUUAAAAGAGAAGUACCCUUUAAAAAAUACCUCUUAGUUUUUAAAGUUAAUUACACUUCCAUGCCACUAAGAAUUAAAUUAAAUUUUUUAUUUUAAUGCUUGUCUUUUUGAUUAAUGUGUUUUCUUUAUUCAAAUAUAAAUUUAAUGUCAUUAAAUGAAUCUAUAUAUUUUAAUGUUUGUCUUUUUCGGUUAAAUUAAUGAGUUUUUUUUAAUCAAAUUUAAACUUAAUGUCAUUAAAUAAACCUAAAAAUACAUCAUAUUAAACGUAGCUUAUUACGGAUGAGUACAACCCAAUAAUGAACUUGAAUUUUAUUUUUACGAAAACGUGAAUCACUUGACAUAUAUAAUAUUUAAAAAUAUUAACUACAAUAUAACAAAUGCAUAUAACCUAACUAUACUUUAGUUUGAAAUGAUCAUGCUCAAAUAAUAUAUAGUCAACUUACAUCAUGCAUCUAUCGAUGUACAAUAUUCAAACCACCUAUAGUUUUCGUUUUCUUUAUAAGAUAUAUCAACCAACCAAUCAUCCUAUUGAUUUUCUAAGCUUUAUAAAAAAACAAAUCAAUAAAUACAAACUCAAAAUCCAAUAUCUUUUAUUAAUCAAAACAUAAUAUCUUCAAUGUCGUAUCUUUAAUGUACCUAUUAAAUAAAGAAACUGUAACCAUAAUUACAUUAACUAUAGGAAUAGAUUUGAUUCCAACCAAUUGAUCUAUUACUUUGGUAAUUGAUUUGCUUGCAGAAGAGGAAACAAUAAAUUUAAAAUUUGUAAGAAUAUAAAGAUAUAGGAUUCCAACUAAUUGCCUAUAUUUGCGUAUGAUUUUCGCAUAAUAAGCUUCAAAUUGAACAUUAAAAAAGAUAGAGAGAUUUUUUAAUCUUUUACCGACACAUAACUUAAACAAAACGAAGAGUUAAAGGUAUUUUUUUGUUACACUUCCCGGAAAAAAACGGUUACAACAUGGGCUUUCAUAAUACGGCAUUUUAACAUAAUAAUGUUAUGGACAUUUAAUAAUUAUCUUAACAAAAAACAAAGACUAUAAAUAAUUUAUUAUUAAUAAAAUUAUGAAAUUAUUUACAAUUUAAUGACUAAUUCAUCGCCCUUUUUAUAUGUUAAAUUUUUCAUAAAAGUUUAAAAAUCAUUGUAUUUACUUUAAACAUUAUAACUGAUUUAUAAUUUUUUAUGCCAUACUAAGUCAUAAUAUAAUAUUUCUUCAUAUUUUACAUUAAUGACCAUUAUUUUUAUAUAUCGUCUACAAUUCUCUAAUUACGUCUAUUUGUUCAAUUUUUUAUAUGAUAUUGAAUAUUCGUCGUAAAUAGAUGGUUUAAGAUGCCAAAAAAAUAUUUAGUUAGUGAAUGUAAUACAUCAAAUAUUAUAAAUAUAUCAUUUAGUUAAAUAAAUAACCAAAAAUAGAAAAUUCAGAUCCGUGCUGGCACGUGGAUCUGGGUCUAGUAUACACUUAUUGGACAAGUGUGAUUUUCAAAAAACUAAUUAUUAAAUAGUGUAUUUUCCUAAUUAUCCCUUGAUCCCUAGUCCCUACUGCUGGACAAAAAAAGUCUCUUAAUAUCUAUUUCAUAACUUUUUAAUCUUAUAUAUAUCUAUCCUUUAGUGAUAAUAUUUUAAAUUCUACUUUUGUGUUAUUUUUGGGAUAUAAACAUAUUUAAAUAUUUAUUAGUAUUUUUUUCUCUGAUAUCUACUAAUAUAAAAUAGAGCUUUAUUUUCUUCUCCUUUUGCCACCUAAUCAAAUAGGCUCACCAGAACCUGACACCUUUCGCACCUAUUAGCCGAUGAGAACGAUGAGCUUAAUACACGUAUGAAACCGACGACGGCUCUGCUUCUUCCGCAGUUAGUUGUUCGAGUUAAUCCUAGCAAUAAUGAAUGUUAAUCAAUCAUUCCCCUCACUACCUUCUCUUCGGUUCAGCUUCUCCACCUUCUCAAAUAAUCAGAGUUGCUCUAUAUAUAUAUGGUGCUCAUCCUCAAGAUGGAACGCUACAUUUUGGUUACUAUUUCUACUGUCGGGAUCAACCGAAGCUUGAGCUUUAUAUCAUUGUGAAUUCCCAGAUCCACUUCUCCGAUUCGAAGGCCAUCGGUUGCAAACAAGUUGUCGUGACACGCCUGCUACGCUUUUGUAAGUGCUGGAACCUAAAAAGGAGGAGAGCUAAUUGGAGUUGAUAUGGUGUUAGACUUCGACUUUGAUUCAGAGACUUUCAGCGUGUGAUGAAAACCUGUCCAUUCAGAAUUUUAUGGUAACAAUACAAUUGGACAGGCCUCUGAUAUGAUCAUGAGUAGCUGAUGACCUGAGAAGAAAGAAGUGAAGUAGGAGCUUGCACCAGCUUAAGGGAAAUACUCCAUUUCAUUUAGAGUCUUUGAAGUUAGAGACUUCAGAUGACAAAUAAAUAAGAAAGUCGAGAGUUAGAAGUUUCUGUAUGCAUUUUCUGAUUUGUAAACUGGGUUGAUUGAGCUGGGCUCUUCAAUGGCGACGAUCUGAUGAUCGUCGAGCUCCGAUUAUCUAGAGAUAAUCGGUAGCGAGUUGUAAUCAUUUCUGGAGAUUCGAUUACGUUAUCGAUAAAGUACUUCGUUGAUCUUGAGUUCGAGUUUAGAUCAUAACAGGCUCAGACUGUCUGUGUUAGUGUGUUUGGUAAUGUUGCAAACUUAGAUGAGAAGCUACACUCUUGGACAACACGUAAUAAUAUCUUAGCUGUUAAUAUCAGUUGUUGCUGUCUGUGUUAUGGGACGAUUCAUUGGCCUUUUAUGCAUUAACCUACACAUGGUAGCCCCUCUUACAAUCAAAAUGCUCAAGAGCAUGAUGAUGGAGAUGGGUUUAUGAGUAACGCUACGACAAACCUUAGCAUGUCAAGAGGUAGAAGGUCAAUAAAAUCACCUCAAAAAUAUCAAGAUAUGGAGACCACGGUACGAGGGAAGAGUAAACAGGGAAGAGUAAAUGGGGUCGUCGAGGCCGUGGAUAUCGUCCAACUCCCUAGUAUCUUUCCUUUCUUUCUAUGAUUUAAUAAACAUAUGUACCAUAAGUUUCUCUUGUUCUAAGCUAUUGCUUGGCUGAAUAUGAGGUUUGUCUCAUCAUAAUUUCUCAAAUUUUAUGGUUGUGAUAUUUGUUUCAUAUUAAGUGUCAUUUUAUCAUUUUUGUGACAUAAAAAUUGUCAUUCUAUAAUUUCAAUGCAAUUUAUAUUUACUUUUAACUCAAUAUUAAUUGUAAAAUGUAUUGAUUUUAUAAAUAAAUGUAUUUGUCUGAAAUGAUAUUAGUUAAAUAGAUGAUAUUAAUAAAAACUUAAAUGUAUUUCAAUCAGUUUCUUGAUAUGUAUGAAAAAUGUCUAAGUGACAUUCUUUGUGAAACAGAAUAAGUAUGUUUUUAAUUUUGAAUGCCUUUUUCAAAAAAAAAAUAUGGUAGUAAAUGUAUAGAAGCAGAAAGACAUUGAAGUAAUAAAUAUCUAAGUGUUUAGUUUUGGAAUAGGUCCGACUCGUGUUUUUAUUGAACUUUGUGCAAAGCUUUAUUUUUAUAAAGCAAUACAAAUAAUUUGUAUAAAUAGGCCCUAAUUUUUUAGUAAAAAUUUUAAAGUUUUACUAAAAGUUUGCAAAAAAAAAAAACAAAUUUGGACCAU